ensembl:snoRNA
AUGGCAGUGAUGAUUGGCGCAGGGGUACGGACCUCAGCUGGAUCAUGGGAGCUGAAUGCAAACUGGGAAUUCCAGUGCAGCUGGCGUGUGGCUGGCUCACUGGAAACAGGUUUGCAUGAGACUUUGCCAGAAACUGAGCCAU